rnacentral:lncRNA from 1 species
CGCGGUCCGGGCUUGCACCCCGCUGGGCAAAGUACCCGGGGCUGUCACACGGCGAGCUGAGCCCUGGGCCGGCGGAUUGGAGGAAAAAAAAGUGGAAGCCCUGGGACCCACCAUCAUGAACAAUCGGGGAGAAGACAAGAGGCCAGCAAAGGAAUGAACACAGGGACGCAUGAGACAUUUGGUGCCGAAGACCUGGGUCAGCGGGACUCCUUUGGGAGACCAGUCCCCCAUCCUCACCCUCACUCUGUGAAGAGAUCCACCUACGACCUUGGGUCCUCAGACCAACCAGCCUAAGGAACAUCUCACCUAUUUUAAAUCGGGAAUGUCAGGCCUCUGAACCCAAGCUAAGCCAUCA